AAAUCAAAAGUGGCUGUGGUACAGCCGCACAACAGUAGUAGCAACACCUUCAAACAUUAAAAAAGUUGCAGUUGGAAGAAUGUGUAAAUUUAUACAGCAAAGGUAAAUACUUUGUUUCUUGCCUGCCGAUGCGGUUUAUUAUCACAAUAUCUCAAAAUGUGCCUGUCCAUGCUUGACACAACAUUUAGUUGAUGUGACAUAAGAGAUAUAGAUCAGCCAUUGCUAUGGGUGAAGUCAUAUCAAUACCAUAUCAUAUCAUAUCUUGAAUUUCCCCUUGGGGAUCAAUAAAGUAUCUAUCUAUCUAUCUACCUAUAGCGUGAUAGUUGAUAACAGGUAACAAGUCAUAUCGGCCGAUACUGAGAUUAAGCUGAUAUAACAGUGCAUCCCUAAAAAGCACAGCAGUAUAGUGUGGGACACAAACAAACACUGAAAAAGUGCAGAGUUAGAGACAGUGACAGAGAGGGCAAGAUAAACAUAUAUAAUGAGAGAGAGAGAGAGAGAGACGGAACAUGGAAUGAAAAGUAGAAUACUUACUGCCAUAAGGGGAAGCUGAUGGAGAGGCGUUACUGAACCCUGGCGACCCUGGUACUCCCAGGCUGCUCAUGGGCACGGCACUGUAGCCACCACCCAUCCCCCCGCUGGCAUACCCUGACUGCUGGGGCGUGGAAGCAGAGGGGUACCCUCGUGGAGAGAGGCUACUGGAGUUACGCAUGUAGCCUGUGGAGUGGCAGAAGAUGGCAUGGAAAAAGAAUUACGGUACACUGAGGCCCAGCUGAGGCGGCGGGUAGGAGCUGAUGCCCAUCACACUGCCAUGGGCGGGCGAGGAGGGCAGAGCCUGGAGCUGACUGUGAGG